rnacentral:rRNA from 1 species
AUGCAAGAAAUAGUUUGCGGCUGCUCGGGUAUACCGAAAAGAAGUAAUACAAGGUCUUGCCGGUGCGGAUGUCCAGCAAUGAUAAGGUUACUACGCUCAAAGGACAACGGAUGGUAUAUAAGCGAGCACAGGGCAUUCCACAAUCACUCUCUCACAGAUAAGUGUGGACAGAAAAUAUAUUGGCCCUCGCAUAGACAUAUCAACAUUUAUAUACGAGAUGUUAUCAAGCAGCUGCGUGCAAAUAAUAUUAGCAUUGGCAAAGUCUACAACAUAAUUGGCAGUUUCUUUGGCUCCAUGAGCAGUAUGCCUUUCAGCAAGAGAGCGUUGAGGGGGCUUUGUGGACAGAUUAGCCGAGAUCAGGCAGAUGAUGACGUCAGAAAGACAAUGGAAGUUUUUGCUGAAUUGGGAUCCAAAGAUUCAGGGUUGUACUACAGAGUACAGCCAGACACGGACAGCCGCAUACGAAAUCUGUUAUGGUCAACAGGAGCAAGCAGAGCACAGUACCACUACUUUGGAGAUGCAAUAACUUUUGAUACAACAUACCGUACAAACAUGUAUCAUAUGCCAUUCGGUUUGUUUGUCGGAGUAAACAAUCAUUUCCAAAGUGUCAUAUUUGGAGGAGUUUUACUUAGAGAUGAGACAAUGGAAACAUUUGAAUGGGUGUUCACUGAGUUUAUCCGUAUGAUGGGCGGCAAGCAUCCACAAACCAUACUGACAGACCAGUGCAGGGCUGUGGAAUUAGCAAUAGAAAAGGUGAUGUCCAACACAACACAUCGGUGGUGUAAGUGGCAUAUCUUAAAAAAAAAGCAAAAGAAUCUCUUGGAGCACAUUACGCGAAGAGGAGCAAGGUCCGAAUGGAGUUCCACAAGAUAA